GAUGAAGAACGUAGCGAAAUGCGAUACGUAAUGUGAAUUGCAGAAUUCAGUGAAUCAUCGAGUCUUUGAACGCACAUUGCGCCCUCUGGUAUUCCGGAGGGCAUGCCUGUCCGAGCGUCAUUGCUGCCCUCAAGCACGGCUUGUGUGUUGGGCCCCGCCCCCCGAUCCCGGGGGGCGGGCCCGAAAGGCAGCGGCGGCACCGCGUCCGGUCCUCGAGCGUAUGGGGCUUUGUCACCCGCUCUGUAGGCCCGGCCGGCGCUUGCCGAUCAACCAAACUUUUUUCCAGGUUGACCUCGGAUCAGGUAGGGAUACCCGCUGAACUUAAGCAUAUCAAUAAGCGUAGGA
rnacentral:misc_RNA from 1 species